UACGGGGGGAGCAAGCGUUGUUCGGAUUUACUGGGCGUAAAGGGCGCGUAGGCGGUCAGUGCAAGUCAGUUGUGAAAUCUCCGGGCUUAACCUGGGAACUGCAUUUGAGACUGCAUUGCUAGAGUAUGGGAGAGGGAAGUGGAAUUUCAGGUGUAGCGGUGAAAUGCGUAGAUAUCUGAAGGAACAUCAGUGGCGAAAGCGACUUCCUGGACCAAUACUGACGCUCAUGUGCGAAAGCGUGGGGAGCAAACAGG
rnacentral:rRNA from 1 species